GACGAACGCUGGCGGCGUGCUUAACACAUGCAAGUCGAACGAAGCUUGAUUACGGAUUCUUCGGAUGAAGUAUGAUAUGACUGAGUGGCGGACGGGUGAGUAACGCGUGAGUAACCUGCCCUUCCGAGGGGGAGAGCGCUUGGAAACGAACGGUAAUACCGCAUAAUGUAUUUUGACCGCAUGGUCGAAAUACCAAAGAGUUCUCGCUGAAGGAUGGACUCGCGUCUGAUUAGGUGGUUGGUGGGGUAACGGCCUACGAGGCGGACGAUCAGUAGCCGGACUAAGAGGUGACUCGGCCACAGUGGAGCCUCGUCACGGCGGCGACUGCUGCGAGUAGCAGAAGAGGGGAAUAUGGCACAAUGAGCGCAAGCCUGAUGCAGCUACGCCGCGUGAAGGAAGACGGUUUUCGGAUUGUAGGCUUCUGUUCUUAGUGGAUAAUAAUGACGGUAGCUAAGAAGCAAGCCACGGCUAACUACGUG
rnacentral:rRNA from 1 species